ensembl:snRNA U1 U1 spliceosomal RNA
AAACUUACUUGGCUGAGGAAAUACUUUGAUCAGGAAGGUGUUUCUCCCAUGGCAAGGUUUAGCUUCUGCACUCUGUAGGAAUGACUUCUGCCAUUUUCCGAAUAUGAGAAACUCAACUGCAGGAGCUGUGGAAAGACAAAAUAUUCUCUGUC